rnacentral:rRNA from 1 species
CAAUAGCGUAUAUUUAAGUUGCUACAGUUAAAAAGCUCGUAGUUGGAUUUCGGGUGGGAAUGGCCGGUCCGCCGUUUCGGUGUGCACUUGCUACGCCCACCUUGCUGCCGGGGACGUGCUCUUGAGUUCACGCUCGGGACACGGAGUCGGCGAGGUUACUUUGAGUAAAUUAGAGUGUUCAAAGCAGGCCUACGUUCUGAAUACAUUAGCAUGGAAUAACACGAUAGGACUCUGGCCUAUCUUGUUGGUCUGUAGGACCGGAGUAAUGAUUAAGAGGGACAGUCGGGGGCAUUCGUAUUUCAUUGUCAGAGGUGAAAUUCUUGGAUUUAUGAAAGACGAACUACUGCGAAAGCAUUUGCCAAGGAUGUUUUCAUUAA